AAGUCGAGCGAGGCCUGGGGGGCAACUCCCAGAGUCGAGCGGCGGACGGGUGAGUAACACGUGGGUAACCUGCCCGGAAGUGGGGAAUACCUCGGGGAAACUCGAGCUAAUACCGCAUGACAUCUUCGGGACGAAAGUCCUGACGAUCAAAGCGGGGUCGCAAGAUCUCGCGCUACCGGAUGGGCCCGCGCCCGAUUAGCUAGUUGGUGAGGUAACGGCUCACCAAGGCUUCGAUCGGUAACCGGCCUGAGAGGGCGAUCGGUCACACCGGAACUGAGACACGGCCCGGACUCCUACGGGAGGCAGCAGUGGGGAAUCUUGCGCAAUGGGCGAAAGCCUGACGCAGCAACGCCGCGUGGAGGAUGAAGGCCCUUGGGUUGUAAACUCCUGUCGGCUGGGAAGAAAUCGUACGGUGCUCAUACCACCGUGCGUUGACUGUACCAGCAAAGGAAGCCCCGGCUAACUCUGUGCCAGCAGCCGCGGUAAUACAGAGGGGGCCAGCGUUAUUCGGAAUUAUUGGGCGUAAAGGGCGCGUAGGCGGCCUUGCGUGUCUUCCGUGAAAUCCCUCGGCUCAACUGAGGACGUGCGGAAGAAACUGCAGGGCUCGAGUCCGGGAGAGGGGGGUGGAAU
rnacentral:rRNA from 1 species